rnacentral:rRNA from 1 species
UACGUAGGGGGCGAGCGUUGUCCGAAGUUGACUGGGCGUAAAGCGCGCGUAGGCGGGUUGGCAAGUCUGCUGUGAAAGCCCGGAGCUCAACUCCGGAGGGUCGGUGGAUACUGCCAGUCGUUGAAGUGGCUAGGGGGAGAUGGAAUUACCGGUGUAGCGGUGAAAUGCGUAGAGAUCGGUAGGAACACCAGUGGCGAAGGCGGUCUCCUGGGGCCCACUUGACGCUGAGGCGCGAAAGCUGGGGGAGCGAACGGG